rnacentral:ncRNA from 1 species
CCACGCUUGACGGGGUGCCGUUGAAAACGGCUGAGAUCAUGCAGCGCCAGCCGGCGAUGGAGCAUGGAUCCCGUUGAACCUGAACUGGCUAGGACCAGCGUAGGGAUCAAGCGACACGCAGAG